GUCCGUGGCGAUUUAAGGAGCAAGAAGAAAGGAUGAAGAAACUCGAAAACAAAAUCAGUAAGGUCAGGCAGAACUCAAAUCCUGCCUAGAUAUAUCAUGGCUGAAAGAAUCCUUUGAUAGACAUGUCUCUUGGUAUGAUAUAGAUGCUUCAUUUCCUUGUUUUACUCCAAAUGAUCAGUUGGUUCUUUGCAAUUAAGAAAAUUCCGGCCCUCUUCUUUGCUGUAAAUUUAUUGGCUCUGUAUAGC
rnacentral:lncRNA from 1 species